rnacentral:lncRNA from 1 species
CUUCCCAAAACCAAUUUUUCUUCCAAUUAAUUUUCAAGAAAAUAUAUUCUUAUAUUCAUUUGCACUAUUGCAAAAGGCAAUACUGCUAACAAUACACUAUCAACAUAACUAUUUUUAUAUAUAACUUAUUUGCCCUCUGCACAUUGUUCCUAAGUUAGCAAUUAUUCAUAUUCGAUCAUCGUGAAAAGCUUGAAUAUUUUCUUUAUUAUUAAGACCUACUAUUUAUUUUAUUUACUAUACAUUUUGUUCAAACUCCUACCAUUCAAACAAGUUAAGUGCCAGCAUUCCAUUUUCCGACCGCUUGCAUUUCACACAUUAUAUAAGGUAAUUCCUCGCGCUCCCCUUCUUCUUUCAAUCCAACUAUUACUGUGCUCACACGAUUUACUGAUGUUUUGCGCUUAUACUUUCCUAAUGCUUACAAUUGCGUGAGUAAAUACUCCCAAAGUACGAUUAAAUACUCGCCAAAACCUUUCUUGUGUUUACCCAUUUAAUUUUUUUUCCGCCAUGUCUAUUUUAACUACGCCAUAAAUGCAUUUUUUCCCACAAAAUUUAUCACGCGACUGCAUCUAUGCCUAUUGCUUAUUUUCUUGCCAACUUUUGGGUUAGUUACUUAGUUAGUUAAUUAACUCUAACAGCUGAGUUAGUCCAUAUAACCCAAAAUUUCAUUAAAACAAUCCAGCAUUUUUUGGAGUGUACCUAUACCGUCCCACACAUAUUACCAUAUCUACUGUCUAUUGCUUGUUCAUUAUUCAUGACAUACUUUCUUCCAGAUUAUGGCUUCCUACACCUCACCAUCAAAAAUCCCCAAAAUACACCACCCUGAGACUGAAUCAAUUCAUGACCGCCUCCAACUCAUUGCUUACAAAUGCCAAGAUCCAUCUGUCAACCCCAUCGAAACACCACAACUUUGUAAUCUAGGCACUGAUAUCAUGAAAAUCAUGUCACACUGUGACAACCAAAACAAGGCUCUCCAGCAAUGUGUCACUACACUUCGUUCAGAACUACAGGACAUGAAAAAAAAAAACUCUACAGAAGCUCUAACUUCUGCAGAAAUCAACACUGCUACCCAAUACUUUUUCAAAGAUGAACAAUGUGACAUGUCCUCACAGACGGAGCAUGUCCCUUCAACAUUACCUGAACACUUACCUGAGAAUAACAACUAUCAAGAAAUACAAGCUGCAACAAAGUCUUCUCCAAAACCAACCAAAGAUCUACAGAAUGCUUAACAUUCAUUAUAUUGUGACCACACUUUUUAUGCUGCACUGUUUUUUACUUUUAAAACUACAAAUUGUUAUAUUUCCAUUUACUCUUAAACCACAUUAUUUUCUUUUCUUUUUUUCUUUUCUUUUUAAUUACACUUUUUUACAUACAAUUUAACAUACUAUUUGCCUAUUCCACCUUUAUAAUUUAUAGUUUUUUCUCAGACUUACAGUUUUCAUUAAAAUACAAAAUUAUUGCACACUACACUCCCACAACACAAGUAUAUUACUUAAUCUCUUAUUAAUAAAAUAUUUCAUGCUAAAACAUUGAAAACAUUGAAAAAUUUUAAUUGCCAAAGCAUUAUAGGUAUUUUCACUGAUGUU